rnacentral:lncRNA from 1 species
AUGUGGAGCAAUGAGGAGGAAAGGCCAGGGAGCAGCGUGGGCAGGGCCGGCGGGCAGCAACCCGGGCAGAACCCAGCUCCUGGCGGGCUCCAAACAUCCACGCGUGGGCAGAGCCACGCCGACCGUGUCAGGUGUUGUGACAGGAGCGUGCCACAGCAUCGACAGGAAUUGGUGAGAGCGUCCCAGAGCGGAGUACCGGGACACUGCGCCCAAACGGCCCCCGAGAGCGCUGUGAAUUUGGAGGGGCGAUGCCCUCGUGUGUGCCCCGGCUGCAGCUUGGCCACUUCCAUCGCUUUCCUCAUCCUCCAUCCUCCUGCUGUUGUGCUGACCCUGUCCCAAGGAUCAGUUUUCUUCACUGGAGGCAAACCUUCCCUUUUUCUCGAGAGACGAGGCCCAGGCAGUUGCCCGAGACCAUUCAGUUUGUUCACUGACCACAAGCUCGUUAUUUUUGUCACUUUCCUUCAACUGCUUGCAUGUCAUUUGCAUUGUUUAAAGUCAAAACAAAACCACCUCAACUUGCAGGCACAGUACUUCUCCCCUCAUACAUCACCGGUCACGCCAGAAUCCCAGCUCUGCGUGUUAUUUUGUCAAUGUGCAGGAAGCAGAAGAGAAACCAGCUUACUCUUCUGA